GGUGGCUCAGUUGGUUAGGGCGUGGUGCUGAUAAUGCCAAGGUCAACAUGGGUUCCGAUAACCCGUAUGGGCCA